rnacentral:piRNA from 1 species
UGAGCAGAUACUGAAGGGAAAGCAGGU